GACAGAGGGUGCAACCGUUGUUCGGAAUUACUGGGCGUAAAGCGCGUGUAGGCGGUUCGGUAAGUCCGCUGUGAAAGUCGGGGGCUCAACCCUCGGAUGCCGGUGGAUACUGUCGGACUAGAGUACGGAAGAGGCGAGUGGAAUUCCUGGUGUAGCGGUGAAAUGCGCAGAUAUCAGGAGGAACACCGAUUGCGAAGGCAGCUCGCUGGGACGUUACUGACGCUGAGACGCGAAAGCGUGGGGAGCAAACAGG
rnacentral:rRNA from 1 species